rnacentral:rRNA from 1 species
GACGAACGCUGGCGGCGUGCUUAACACAUGCAAGUCGAGCGGUAAGGCCCCGUUCGGGGGUACACGAGCGGCGAACGGGUGAGUAACACGUGGGUGACCUGCCCUCAGCUCUGGGAUAAGCCUGGGAAACUGGGUCUAAUACCGGAUAUGACUCCAUGACGCAUGUCGGUGGGGUGGAAAGCCUUGUGCGGCUGGGGGAUGGGCCCGCGGCCUAUCAGCUUGUUGGUGGGGUGAUGGCCUACCGAGGCGACGACGGGUAGCCGGCCUGAGAGGG